AUGCCAUGUUGCGUAUCGCUGGUUCUUAUGUGUACACACUGCUCCAGAGUAUGGCUACACCACCAAGAAGAGCGACAUGUACAGCUACAGCGUGAUGCUCCUGGAGAUCUUGAGCGGGGGGACGGAGUGUCAUCGAGCCGAUGGUCAGCGACAGCCUGCACACUGGAGUGUGCGAAGAUGGGGAGCCACGAGCCGGCAGUGAACAUUCUGGGCCCCAAGCUGCGUGGCAUGCCAGACCAGCUGGUCCAGGAGAUGCCGCAUGCGCUGGGCAUUGCCAUCUUCUGGGUGAAGCCGGCGCCGGAAGGAGGCUGUGGCCUUCCUCAAGGAGGCGAGGAGUGA
rnacentral:rRNA from 1 species